rnacentral:tRNA from 1 species
GGUGGGGUAGCUCAGCGGUAGAGCAGAGAACCGAUAAUUCUAAGGUCGAAGGUUCGAUCCCUUCUCCCACCACCA